AACAAACGCUGGCGGCGUGCCUAAUACAUGCAAGUCGAACGGGGAAAGUAGCAAUACGAGUACUAGUGGCGCACGGGUGAGGAAUACAUGGGUAAUCUGCCCUCGAGCUCGGGAUAACCAGUCGAAAGACUGGCUAAUACCGGAUAUGACCACAAGAUCUGAGGAUCAAGGGGUAAAAGGUUUUUACGCUUGAGGAUGAGCCCAUGUGGGAUUAGCUAGUUGGUGUAGGUAACGGACUCACCAAGGCGACGAUCCCCUAACUGGUCUUAGAGGAUGAUCAGUCACACUGGAACUGAGACACGGUCCAGACU
rnacentral:rRNA from 1 species